UGAGUUUACGCUCUACAACCCUUUGUGAACAUACCUAUAACUGUUGCUUCGGCGGGUAGGGUCUCCGUGACCCUCCCGGCCUCCCGCCCCCGGGCGGGUCGGCGCCCGCCGGAGGAUAACCAAACUCUGAUUUAACGUACGUUUCUUCUGAGUGGUACAAGCAAAUAAUCAAAACUUUUAACAACGGAUCUCUUGGUUCUGGCAUCGAUGAAGAACGCAGCGAAAUGCGAUAAGUAAUGUGAAUUGCAGAAUUCAGUGAAUCAUCGAAUCUUUGAACGCACAUUGCGCCCGCCAGCAUUCUGGCGGGCAUGCCUGUUCGAGCGUCAUUUCAACCCUCAAGCUCUGCUUGGUGUUGGGGCCCUACAGCUGAUGUAGGCCCUCAAAGGUAGUGGCGGACCCUCCCGGAGCCUCCUUUGCGUAGUAACUUUACGUCUCGCACUGGGAUCCGGAGGGACUCUUGCCGUAAAACCCCCAAUUUUCCAAAGGUUGACCUCGGAUCAGGUAGGAAUACCCGCUGAACUUAAGCAUAUCAAUAAGCGGAGGAAAAGAAACCAACAGGGAUUGCCUCAGUAACGGCGAGUGAAGCGGCAACAGCUCAAAUUUGAAAUCUGGCCCUAGGCCCGAGUUGUAAUUUGCAGAGGAUGCUUUUGGUGCGGUGCCUUCCAAGUUCCCUAGAACGGGACGCCAGAGAGGGUGAGAGCCCCGUACAGUUGGACACCAAGCCUUUGUAAAGCUCCUUCGACGAGUCGAGUAGUUUGGGAAUGCUGCUCAAAAUGGGAGGUAUAUUUCUUCUAAAGCUAAAUACCGGCCAGAGACCGAUAGCGCACAAGUAGAGUGAUCGAAAGAUGAAAAGCACUUUGAAAAGAGGGUUAAACAGCACGUGAAAUUGUUAAAAGGGAAGCGCUUGUGACCAGACUUGCGUCCGGUGAAUCACCCAGCUCUCGCGGCUGGGGCACUUCGCCGGCUCAGGCCAGCAUCAGCUCGCUGUCGGGGACAAAAGCUUCAGGAACGUAGCUCUCUUCGGGGAGUGUUAUAGCCUGUUGCAUAAUACCCUUCGGCGGGCUGAGGUACGC
rnacentral:misc_RNA from 1 species